rnacentral:lncRNA from 1 species
GUGCUGCUCUCUAUAAGUCCAAAACACCUAUCCAUAAACUGUAGUACAAAAUCUUCAAAUUCUGCUGUUGCAGAGCACAGUUCUCUUUCCACCUCUGAAAGAUCAUCCCUUUCUUGCAACAUGGAUGAACAAUCUACUAAAGGCACCAAAGUAGAAAACGUUGCAAUAAACUGGAAUGUAAUCAUGCACUUGCUGAAGUCAUUUGGAUCCACUCCAGGC